rnacentral:rRNA from 1 species
GCAAGUCGAACGAGAAGCUCACUUCGGUGAGUGGAAAGUGGCAGACGGGUGAGUAACACGUGGGAAUCUACCCAGAGGUACGGAAUAAUUCAUGGAAACGUGGACUAAUACCGUAUGUGCCCCUUCGGGGGGAAAGCGUUAUGUAGCGCCUUUGGAUGAGCCCGCGCUGGAUUAGGUAGUUGGUGGGGUAAUGGCCUACCAAGCCUACGAUCUAUAGCUGGUCUGAGAGGAUGAUCAGCCACACUGGAACUGAGACACGGUCCAGACUCCUACGGGAGGCAGCAGUGGGGAAUCUUGCACAAUGGGCGCAAGCCUGAUGCAGCCAUGCCGCGUGAGUGAAGAAGGCCCUAGGGUUGUAAAACUCUUUCGCCGGUGAAGAUAAUGACGGUAACCGGUAAAGAAGCCCCGGCCAACUCCGUGCCAGCAGCCGCGGUAAUACGGAGGGGGCUAGCAUUGUUCGGAAUUACUGGGCGUAAAGCGCGCGUAGGCGGAUUAACAAGUUGGGGGUGAAAGCCCGGAGCUCAACUCCGGAACUGCCUCCAAAACUGUUUCUCUAGAGUCCGGAAGAGGUGAGUGGAAUUCCUAGUGUAGAGGUGGAAUUCGUAGAUAUUAGGAAGAACACCAGUGGCGAAGGCGGCUCACUGGUCCGGUACUGACGCUGAGGUGCGAAAGUGUGGGGAGCAAACAGGAUUAGAUACCCUGGUAGUCCACCCCCGUAAACGAUGGAUGCUAGUUUG